UAGAUAACCCAUGAUUUGCAAUGCUUAGUCCGUGUUUCGAAGUGUUUUGCACGCUGGUGAGUGAAAGCACACAUGAGGUU
rnacentral:snoRNA from 2 species